rnacentral:rRNA from 1 species
CUGUGUGUUGUUGGGUAGGGGAGCGUUCUGUAAGCCUGUGAAGGUGUGCUGUGAGGCAUGCUGGAGGUAUCAGAAGUGCGAAUGCUGACAUAAGUAACGAUAAAGCGGGUGAAAAGCCCGCUCGCCGGAAGACCAAGGGUUCCUGUCCAACGUUAAUCGGGGCAGGGUGAGUCGACCCCUAAGGCGAGGCCGAAAGGCGUAGUCGAUGGGAAACAGGUUAAUAUUCCUGUACUUGGUGUUACUGCGAAGGGGGGACGGAGAAGGCUAUGUUGGCCGGGCGACGGUUGUCCCGGUUUAAGCGUGUAGGCUGGUUUUCCAGGCAAAUCCGGAAAAUCAAGGCUGAGGCGUGAUGACGAGGCACUACGGUGCUGAAGCAACAAAUGCCCUGCUUCCAGGAAAAGCCUCUAAGCAUCAGGUAACAUCAAAUCGUACCCCAAACCGACACAGGUGGUCAGGUAGAGAAUACCAAGGCGCUUGAGAGAACUCGGGUGAAGGAACUAGGCAAAAUGGUGCCGUAACUUCGGGAGAAGGCACGCUGAUAUGUAGGUGAAGUCCCUCGCGGAUGGAGCUGAAAUCAGUCGAAGAUACCAGCUGGCUGCAACUGUUUAUUAAAAACACAGCACUGUGCAAACACGAAAGUGGACGUAUACGGUGUGACGCCUGCCCGGUGCCGGAAGGUUAAUUGAUGGGGUCAGCGCAAGCGAAGCUCUUGAUCGAAGCCCCGGUAAACGGCGGCCGUAACUAUAACGGUCCUAAGGUAGCGAAAUUCCUUGUCGGGUAAGUUCCGACCUGCACGAAUGGCGUAAUGAUGGCCAGGCUGUCUCCACCCGAGACUCAGUGAAAUUGAACUCGCUGUGAAGAUGCAGUGUACCCGCGGCAAGACGGAAAGACCCCGUGAACCUUUACUAUAGCUUGACACUGAACAUUGAGCCUUGAUGUGUAGGAUAGGUGGGAGGCUUUGAAGUGUGGACGCCAGUCUGCAUGGAGCCGACCUUGAAAUACCACCCUUUAAUGUUUGAUGUUCUAACGUGGACCCGUGAUCCGGGUUGCGGACAGUGUCUGGUGGGUAGUUUGACUGGGGCGGUCUCCUCCUAAAGAGUAACGGAGGAGCACGAAGGUUGGCUAAUCCUGGUCGGACAUCAGGAGGUUAGUGCAAUGGCAUAAGCCAGCUUGACUGCGAGCGUGACGGCGCGAGCAGGUGCGAAAGCAGGUCAUAGUGAUCCGGUGGUUCUGAAUGGAAGGGCCAUCGCUCAACGGAUAAAAGGUACUCCGGGGAUAACAGGCUGAUACCGCCCAAGAGUUCAUAUCGACGGCGGUGUUUGGCACCUCGAUGUCGGCUCAUCACAUCCUGGGGCUGAAGUAGGUCCCAAGGGUAUGGCUGUUCGCCAUUUAAAGUGGUACGCGAGCUGGGUUUAGAACGUCGUGAGACAGUUCGGUCCCUAUCUGCCGUGGGCGCUGGAGAACUGAGGGGGGCUGCUCCUAGUACGAGAGGACCGGAGUGGACGCAUCACUGGUGUUCGGGUUGUCAUGCCAAUGGCACUGCCCGGUAGCUAAAUGCGGAAGAGAUAAGUGCUGAAAGCAUCUAAGCACGAAACUUGCCCCGAGAUGAGUUCUCCCUGACCCUUUAAGGGUCCUGAAGGAACGUUGAAGACGACGACGUUGAUAGGCCGGGUGUGUAAGCGCAGCGAUGCGUUGAGCUAACCGGUACUAAUGAACCGUGAGGCUUAACCUU